GGAUUGACUAAGGUAAGAUCAAGAAGAUAGGAUUUGAAUAUUACAAGAGGAUGAAAUUGGAUUAGGUGUUUGAAUAAGUCUAGGGUUGUUCCUAGAAUUUAGAGAUUUGGAGAUGGAAGAUAGGAUUUGGAUAUGACAAAAGGAUGAAGGUCUUUGGUGGGAUUGAGUGAUUCUAGGGAUUGAGUGAUUUAAGGGAUUGGAUUUAGAAGAUGAGGUGAGGAUUCCUAAAAUGUAGGAAUCUCCUUGUGGGACUCUAGGGUUUUGGCUAGGGCUAAUUUGGAUGAAGGGAGGCUCACUUUAGAAAGUGGAAAUUAUGGGAAAUUUGGGAUUGGAAAGAUGGAGGCUUAAAAUGUGUUUGUGAGGUAAGAAAACACAAGAAAAUAUAUGAACAAACUAGAAAAUAUAGGAACAAACAAUGAAUAAUUUGGAUAUUGAAUAGAGAAUGGAAAAUAUGCAAGAGAUGGAUCAAUCAAUCAAUACCUAUUC